GUCGUUUUCUGCAGAUCCAUUUGCCUGGGAGGGCUUAGCCCUUCUUGGGCUUUUAUUGGGUUUUGCUGUAGGAAUCUAACGCUAGGUCGAACGUUCUGGCCAGAGACAUCUGAAAUGUACAGUCAAGUGAGUUACGCCAGCCCACGUGGGAUAGAGAGCAAGGCGGAGUGGGACUCAAACUGAAACAUCAGCUCUUCCUGGGUCUCAAGG